GUAAAGCGCACGCAGGCGGUCUGUCAAGUCGGAUGUGAAAUCCCCGGCUCAAGCUGGGAACUGCAUUCGAAACUGGCAGGCUAGAGUCUUGUAGAGGGGGGUAGAAUUCCAGGUGUAGCGGUGAAAUGCGUAGAGAUCUGGAGGAAUACCGGUGGCGAAGGCGGCCCCCUGGGACAAAGACUGACGCUCAGGUGCGAAAGCGUGGGGAGCAAACAGGAUUAGAUACCCUGGGUAGUCCACGCCCGUAAACGAUGUCGAUUUGGAGGUUGUGCCCUUGAGGCGUGGCUUCCGGAGCUAACGCGUUAAAUCGACCGCCUGGGGAGUACGGCCGCAAGGUUAGAACUCAAAUGAAUUGACGGGGGCCCGCACAAGCGGUGGAGCAUGUGGUUUAAUUCGAUGCAACGCGAAGAACCUUACCUGGUCUUGACAUCCACAGAACUUUCCAGAGAUGGAUUGGUGCCUUCGGGAACUGUGAGACAGGUGCUGCAUGGCUGUCGUCAGCUCGUGUUGUGAAAUGUUGGGUUAAGUCCCGCAACGAGCGCAACCCUUAUCCUUUGUUGCCAGCGGUCCGGCCGGGAACUCAAAGGAGACUGCCAGUGAUAAACUGGAGGAAGGUGGGGAUGACGUUAAGUCAUCAUGGCCCUUACGACCAGGGCUACACACGUGCUACAAUGGCAUAUACAAAGAGAAGCGACCUCGCGAGAGCAAGCGGACCUCAUAAAGUAUGUCGUAGUCCGGAUUGGAGUCUGCAACUCGACUCCAUGAAGUCGGAAUCGCUAGUAAUCGUAGAUCAGAAUGCUACGGUGAAUACGUUCCCGGGCCUUGUACACACCGCCCGUCACACCAUGGGAGUGGGUUGCAAAAGAAGUAGG
rnacentral:rRNA from 1 species